CUUCACUGAAAGUCAAAUCCAGUGACAACUCAGCCAGAAUAAAUGAGUAAUCUGCUAAGUAAUGUUACGCAGAUUCUUCUGUGAAAGGAAUUCAAGACAGCCUUGACAUCCAUCUAUCAAGCAUGACUUGGAACUAAAGAAGAUGACAACCCAGAAAAGCCAGUGAAUAAAAUAUCCCCAAUAAAAGUUG